CCUACGGGAGGCUGCAGUGAGGAAUAUUGGUCAAUGGUCGGGAGACUGAACCAGCCAAGCCGCGUGAGGGAUGAAGUAUUUCGGUAUGUAAAGCUCUAUCAGCAGGGAAGAAAAUGACGGUACCUGAUUAAGAAGCCCCGGCUAACUACGUGCCAGCAGCCGCGGUAAUACGUAGGGGGCAAGCGUUAUCCGGAUUUACUGGGUGUAAAGGGAGCGUAGACGGCAGCACAAGUCUGGAGUGAAAUGCCGGGGCUUAACCCCGGAACUGCUUUGGAAACUGUGCAGCUAGAGUGCAGGAGAGGUAAGUGGAAUUCCUAGUGUAGCGGUGAAAUGCGUAGAUAUUAGGAGGAACACCAGUGGCGAAGGCGGCUUACUGGACUGUAACUGACGUUGAGGCUCGAAAGCGUGGGGAGCAAACAGGAUUAGAUACCCGGGUAGUC
rnacentral:rRNA from 1 species